UGGGGUAUAGCCAAGUGGUAAGGCAACGGGUUUUGGUCCUGUCAUUCGGAGGUUCGAGUCCUUCUACCCCAG
rnacentral:tRNA from 1 species